ACGCGAAGAACCUUACCAGCCCUUGACAUCCCGGUCGCGGGAACCAGAGAUGGAUCCCUUCAGUUCGGCUGGACCGGAGACAGGUGCUGCAUGGCUGUCGUCAGCUCGUGUCGUGAGAUGUUGGGUUAAGUCCCGCAACGAGCGCAACCCUCGCCCUUAGUUGCCAUCAUUCAGUUGGGCACUCUAAGGGGACUGCCGGUGAUAAGCCGCGAGGAAGGUGGGGAUGACGUCAAGUCCUCAUGGCCCUUACGGGCUGGGCUACACACGUGCUACAAUGGCGGUGACAGUGGGACGCAAUGGAGCAAUCCUGCGCAAAUCUCAAAAAGCCGUCUCAGUUCGGAUUGUGCUCUGCAACUCGAGCACAUGAAGUUGGAAUCGCUAGUAAUCGCAGAUCAGCACGCUGCGGUGAAUACGUUCCCGGGUCUGUACACACCG
rnacentral:rRNA from 1 species